rnacentral:rRNA from 1 species
UACAGAGGUCUCAAGCGUUGUUCGGAUUCAUUGGGCGUAAGGGUGUGAGUAGGUGGCGCCGUAAGUCGGGUGUGAAAUUCGGUAGCUUAACUCCGAAACUGCAUUCGAUACUGCGGUGCUUGAGGACUGGAGAGGAGUACUGGAAUUCGAUGGUGUAGCAGUGAAAUGCGUAGAGAUCAUGAGGAAGACCAGUGGCGAAGGCGGGUCGUCUGGACAGUUCCUGACACUGAGACACGAAGGCCAGGGAGCAAACGGG